rnacentral:rRNA from 1 species
UCGAUUCGAGCGUGAUUACCCGCUGAACUUAAGCAUAUCACUAAGCGGAGGAAAAGAAACUAACAAGGAUUCCCUCAGUAACCGCGAGUGAACAGGGAUCAGCCCAGCACCGAAGCCUGUGGUCAUUUGGCCAUUAGGCAAUGUGGUGUUUAGGUCGUUCCGCAGAGACACUGCUCCUCUCUAAGUCCAUCAAUGAGUACGGUUGUACUAACAUGGCCCAAGGAGGGUGAAAGGCCCGUAAGAGUGGAGUUCUGGUAUGACAGUGUCUCUCUGGAUUGACCUUGGAGUCGGGUUGUUUGGGAAUGCAGCCCAAAGCGGGUGGUAAACUCCAUCCAAGGCUAAAUACAAGCACGAGUCCGAUAGCGAACAAGUACCGUGAGGGAAAGUUGAAAAGUACUUUGAAGAGAGAGUAAACAGUGCGUGAAACCGCUUAGAGGUAAACGGGUGGAGUUGAACUGCAAUCUCUGAGAAUUCAGCUGGGGAAUUUUGCUUGAGCUUGGUCAAUUGGGCAGGACCUCGAGGUAUGCUUACUUGCAUGUUCUGGCCUUCGGGCUGGGAUGCGCGUUGCUCUUAUCAAGGGCUGCGCGCCUCGGGUGUUCGGCUGGCUCAUUCGCCAGUGCACUUUCUUGGAGUGAUCACCACGACCGGCGCUGCUGCUUCGCUGUUAUAGUUAAAUCGGACAUUCUUCGUCCUUGUGGCGUUGGGUGGUCGACACGGCAGGUAACUGGGGACAUGCUUCGGCUUGUUGCCCGGUGUAUGCUGGCUUUAACGGGUUCUAUGCAGUGUGUCGGAGACGGCGGUCUGUGGUGUGUGCAUGCGUGCCUAUCUGUUGGCAUAUUCUGGUUUGGUAGCUGUGUGCUUGUUCAAGCAAGCCCAGUUAUAGCUGGAGUGUGUCAGUGGGUGGUUGCGUGUGUGACACUAUUCAGGGCCAACAGUCUGUGGUGUUGUGGUAGACUAUCCACCUGACCCGUCUUGAAACACGGACCAAGGAGAGUAACAUGUGCGCGAGUCAAUGGGCGUAACGAAACCCAAAGGCGCAGUGAAAGUAAAGGUUUGGCUUGUCCAGACUAAGGUGAGAUCUUGUCGUUAUUCAUGCGCGGUACCACCAAGCUUGGAGCGGCAGGCGCAUCACCAGCCCGUCCCAUGACGUGGUCACAUUCUUCGGAUUGUGCGCCGUCGGGGCGGUGCAUGAGCGUACAUGUUGAGACCCGAAAGAUGGUGAACUAUGCUUGCGCAGGUUGAAGCCAGAGGAAACUCUGGUGGAGGACCGCAGCGAUUCUGACGUGCAAAUCGAUCGUCAAACGUGAGUAUAGGGGCGAAAGACUAAUCGAACCAUCUAGUAGCUGGUUCCCUCCGAAGUUUCCCUCAGGAUAGCAG